rnacentral:rRNA from 1 species
CCCUUAGAUGUCCUGGGCUGCACGCGCGCUACACUGGAAGUUACGGAUUGAGAUACUACCUUGUCCGAAAUGGUCCGGGUAAUCACCUAAAAGCUUGUCAUAAUUGGAAUGGAUUAUUGUAACUAGUAAUCCUGAACGAGGAAUUCCUAGUAAGUCCCAGUCAACAGCUGGUACUGAUUACGUCCCUGCCCUUUGUACACACCGCCCGUCGCUACUACUGAUUGGACGUUUAAGCAGGAUUUUUAAACACUGACAGUGUGUAGUUCACGCUAUACUACAGUGAGAAGAAGAAGAUCGAGCUUACUUGUCUAGAGGAAGUAAAAGUCGUAACA